rnacentral:rRNA from 1 species
AUUGAACGCUGGCGGCAUGCUUUACACAUGCAAGUCGAACGGUAACAGGCCUUCGGGUGCUGACGAGUGGCGAACGGGUGAGUAAUGCAUCGGAACGUGCCCAGAGGUGGGGGAUAACGCAGCGAAAGCUGUGCUAAUACCGCAUGUGAUCUGAGGAUGAAAGCGGGGGACCAGGCAGCAAUGUUUGGCCUCGCGCCUUUGGAGCGGCCGAUGUCAGAUUAGGUAGUUGGUGGGGUAAAGGCCUACCAAGCCGACGAUCUGUAGCUGGUCUGAGAGGACGACCAGCCACACUGGGACUGAGACACGGCCCAGACUCCUACGGGAGGCAGCAGUGGGGAAUUUUGGACAAUGGGCGCAAGCCUGAUCCAGCAAUGCCGCGUGCGGGAAGAAGGCCUUCGGGUUGUAAACCGCUUUUGUACGGAACGAAAAGGCUCUGGCUAAUACCUGGGGCUGAUGACGUUACCGUAAGAAUAAGCACCGGCUAACUACGUG